GGCCACAUUGAAACAUCACUUCCUGUACGAUCACCGAAGUUAAGCAACAUCGAGGCUGGCCAGUACUCGGAUGACUGCUUGGGAAUAUCAGGUGCUGUAAG